AGGAUGAACGCUGGCGGCGUGCUUAACACAUGCAAGUCGAACGGUGAAGCCCAGCUUGCUGGGUGGAUCAGUGGCGAACGGGUGAGUAACACGUGAGCAACCUGCCCCUGACUCUGGGAUAAGCGCUGGAAACGGUGUCUAAUACUGGAUACGAACAGUGACCGCAUGGUCAGUUGUUGGAAAGAUUUAUUGGUUGGGGAUGGGCUCGCGGCCUAUCAGCUUGUUGGUGAGGUAAUGGCUCACCAAGGCGUCGACGGGUAGCCGGCCUGAGAGGGUGACCGGCCACACUGGGACUGAGACACGGCCCAGACUCCUACGGGAGGCAGCAGUGGGGAAUAUUGCACAAUGGGCGCAAGCCUGAUGCAGCAACGCCGCGUGAGGAUGACGCUCGAGUGUAACCUCUUUAGCAGGAAGAAGACGAGAGUGACGUACUGCAAGAAAAAGACAACCGACUAACUAACGUACGCCGACGACGACGCCGA
rnacentral:rRNA from 1 species